rnacentral:rRNA from 1 species
CAGCCGCCGCGGUAAUACGGAGGGUGCAAGCGUUAAUCGGAAUUACUGGGCGUAAAGCGCACGCAGGCGGUUUGUUAAGUCAGAUGUGAAAUCCCCGAGCUUAACUUGGGAACUGCAUUUGAAACUGGCAAGCUAGAGUCUUGUAGAGGGGGGUAGAAUUCCAGGUGUAGCGGUGAAAUGCGUAGAGAUCUGGAGGAAUACCGGUGGCGAAGGCGGCCCCCUGGACAAAGACUGACGCUCAGGUGCGAAAGCGUGGGGAGCAAACAGGAUUAGAUACCCGUGUAGUCCCUGUCUCUUAUAC